rnacentral:rRNA from 1 species
CUAAGCGUGAAGCCCCCCUCAAGAUGAGAUUUCCCAUUUCUUCGGAAAGUAAGAUCCCUGAAAGAUGAUCAGGUAGAUAGGUUUGGAGUGGAAGUGUAGCGAUACAUGGAGCGGACAAAUACUAAUCGAUCGAGGACUUAACCAAAA